AUCCAUCUGACGAGUCCCAAAUAGGACUAGAUGCACAUCCUGGAU
rfam:Schistosoma mansoni strain Puerto Rico chromosome W, complete genome